GAUGAACGCUGGCGGCGUGCCUAAUACAUGCAAGUCGAGCGAACGGACGAGAAGCUUGCUUCUCUGAUGUUAGCGGCGGACGGGUGAGUAACACGUGGAUAACCUACCUAUAAGACUGGGAUAACUUCGGGAAACCGGAGCUAAUACCGGAUAAUAUUUUGAACCGCAUGGUUCAAAAGUAAAAGACGGUCUUGCUGUCACUUAUAGAUGGAUCCGCGCUGCAUUAGCUAGUUGGUAAGGUAACGGCUUACCAAGGCAACGAUGCAUAGCCGACCUGAGAGGGUGAUCGGCCACACUGGAACUGAGACACGGUCCAGACUCCUACGGGAGGCAGCAGUAGGGAAUCUUCCGCAAUGGGCGAAAGCCUGACGGAGCAACGCCGCGUGAGUGAUGAAGGUCUUCGGAUCGUAAAACUCUGUUAUUAGGGAAGAACAGAUGUGUAAGUAACUGCGCACAUCUUGACGGUACCUAAUCAGAAAGCCACGGCUAACUACGUG
rnacentral:rRNA from 1 species